rnacentral:rRNA from 1 species
UCCUACGGGAGGCAGCAGUAGGGAAUCUUCCACAAUGGGCGAAAGCCUGAUGGAGCAACGCCGCGUGAGCGAAGAAGGUCUUCGGAUCGUAAAGCUCUGUUGUAAGGGAAGAACAAGUGCAGUAGUAACUGGCUGCACCUGACCUGCCGCAGUC